rnacentral:tRNA from 1 species
GAGGAGCUAGUUAAAAUAUAACAUAGGUUUGUCAAGUCUAUAUUACCUUAUGGUGCUCUUUU